AGAUGCUGGCGAGAUGCACACACAAUUGCCGUGGCUUGCAGUGGAUAAAAACAGAGGACAGAAAAGGAAAAAGAGAUUAUUUUCUAAGGAUGCUGGGAAGAUGCAUACACAAUUGCUCUGGAUUGCAGUGGAGAAAAACAGAGGACAGAAAAGGAAGAAGAGAUUAUUUUCUAAGCAUCAACAGGAGCAGGAGAAGUGGUAGGAGAAGCUGGAGCCAUAAAAGUGACAGAAAAAGAAGGAGGACCAGGAGGAGCAUGAGCAUCAGGACGCACGGUCGAAACAAUAGGAGCAGCAGGAACACAAAGAGGAGCAGGAGAAAUGACGAGAAGAGUAGGAAAAGCGGCAGAAGUAGCAGGAGCUGCAGGAGCGACAGAAACAGAAGGAGGAGCAGGAGCAGCAGGAAAUGUGUCAGGAGCGGCUGGAGAUGCAGUAGUACCGAUAGGAGCAGCAGGAACACAAGAACAAGCAGGACACAUGAGAAGACAGAGCUGCAGGAGGGACACGAAAAGAAGGAGGAGCAGCA